rnacentral:rRNA from 1 species
ACGAACCGUACAAACGUUAUUCGGAAUCACUGGGCUUAAAGGGUGCGUAGGCGGCCAUGUAAGUGGGGUGUGAAAUCCCUCGGCUCAACCGAGGAACUGCGCUCCAUACUGCAUGGCUUGAGGGAGACAGGGGUAAGCGGAACUGAUGGUGGAGCGGUGAAAUGCGUUGAUAUCAUCAGGAACACCGGUGGCGAAAGCGGCUUACUGGGUCUCUUCUGACGCUGAGGUACGAAAGCUAGGGGAGCGAACGGGAUUAGAUACCCCGGUAGUCCUAGCUGUAAACGAUGAGCACUUAUCUGGGGAUCCUCCCAUAGGUUCCCGGAUGUAGCGAAAGUGUUAAGUGCUCCGCCUGGGGAGUAUGGUCGCAAGGCUG